GUUCUGUAAGCCUGCGAAGGCGUGCUGUGAGGCAUGCUGGAGGUAUCAGAAGUGCGAAUGCUGACAUAAGUAACGAUAAAGCGGGUGAAAAGCCCGCUCGCCGGAAGACCAAGGGUUCCUGUCCAACGUUAAUCGGGGCAGGGUGAGUCGACCCCUAAGGCGAGGCCGAAAGGCGUAGUCGAUGGGAAACAGGUUAAUAUUCCUGUACUUGGUGUUACUGCGAAGGGGGGACGGAGAAGGCUAUGUUGGCCGGGCGACGGUUGUCCCGGUUUAAGCGUGUAGGCUGGUUUUCCAGGCAAAUCCGGAAAAUCAAGGCUGAGGCGUGAUGACGAGGCACUACGGUGCUGAAGCAACAAAUGCCCUGCUUCCAGGAAAAGCCUCUAAGCAUCAGGUAACAUCAAAUCGUACCCCAAACCGACACAGGUGGUCAGGUAGAGAAUACCAAGGCGCUUGAGAGAACUCGGGUGAAGGAACUAGGCAAAAUGGUGCCGUAACUUCGGGAGAAGGCACGCUGAUAUGUAGGUGAAGCGACUUGCUCGUGGAGCUGAAAUCAGUCGAAGAUACCAGCUGGCUGCAACUGUUUAUUAAAAACACAGCACUGUGCAAACACGAAAGUGGACGUAUACGGUGUGACGCCUGCCCGGUGCCGGAAGGUUAAUUGAUGGGGUUAGCGCAAGCGAAGCUCUUGAUCGAAGCCCCGGUAAACGGCGGCCGUAACUAUAACGGUCCUAAGGUAGCGAAAUUCCUUGUCGGGUAAGUUCCGACCUGCACGAAUGGCGUAAUGAUGGCCAGGCUGUCUCCACCCGAGACUCAGUGAAAUUGAACUCGCUGUGAAGAUGCAGUGUACCCGCGGCAAGACGGAAAGACCCCGUGAACCUUUACUAUAGCUUGACACUGAACAUUGAGCCUUGAUGUGUAGGAUAGGUGGGAGGCUUUGAAGUGUGGACGCCAGUCUGCAUGGAGCCGACCUUGAAAUACCACCCUUUAAUGUUUGAUGUUCUAACGUUGACCCGUAAUCCGGGUUGCGGACAGUGUCUGGUGGGUAGUUUGACUGGGGCGGUCUCCUCCUAAAGAGUAACGGAGGAGCACGAAGGUUGGCUAAUCCUGGUCGGACAUCAGGAGGUUAGUGCAAUGGCAUAAGCCAGCUUGACUGCGAGCGUGACGGCGCGAGCAGGUGCGAAAGCAGGUCAUAGUGAUCCGGUGGUUCUGAAUGGAAGGGCCAUCGCUCAACGGAUAAAAGGUACUCCGGGGAUAACAGGCUGAUACCGCCCAAGAGUUCAUAUCGACGGCGGUGUUUGGCACCUCGAUGUCGGCUCAUCACAUCCUGGGGCUGAAGUAGGUCCCAAGGGUAUGGCUGUUCGCCAUUUAAAGUGGUACGCGAGCUGGGUUUAGAACGUCGUGAGACAGUUCGGUCCCUAUCUGCCGUGGGCGCUGGAGAACUGAGGGGGGCUGCUCCUAGUACGAGAGGACCGGAGUGGACGCAUCACUGGUGUUCGGGUUGUCAUGCCAAUGGCACUGCCCGGUAGCUAAAUGCGGAAGAGAUAAGUGCUGAAAGCAUCUAAGCACGAAACUUGCCCCGAGAUGAGUUCUCCCUGACUCCUUGAGAGUCCUGAAGGAACGUUGAAGACGACGACGUU
rnacentral:rRNA from 1 species